ACCCCGGUUGUCGGCGUGUCCGUAUUCGGGCUCACGUGACCUAUAGCACACGUAUUCUUGGCCCAAAACGGGUCCGGCGGCCAUUUUCACAACUUCGGACCAUCCCCACGUUUUCAACCCCGGUUGUCGGCGUGUCCGUAUUCGGGCUCACGUGAAGCACACGUAUUCUUGGCCCAAAACGGGUCCGGCGGCCAUUUUCACAACUUCGGACCAUCCCCACAUUUUCAACCCCGGUUGUCGGCGUGUCCCUAUUCGGGCUCACGUGACCUAUAGCACACGUAUUCUUGGCCCAAAACGGGUCCGGAGGCCAUUUUCACGGCUUCGGACGAUCACCCACGUUUUCGACCCCGGUUGUCGGCGUGUCCCUAUUCGGGCUCAGGUGACCUAUAGCACAUGUAUUCUUGGCCCAAAACGGGUCCGGCGGCCAUUUUCACAACUUCGGACCAUCCCCACGUUUUCAACCCACGUUGUCGGCGUGUCCGUAUUCGGGCUCACAUGACCUAAAGCACACAUAUUCUUGGCCCAAAACGGGUCCGGCGGCCAUUUUCAC
rnacentral:lncRNA from 1 species